GAAUUAAAUUUGGAAUUCCCAUAGGAGACUUAACCAGUUGGACCAAAUAGAAGCCAAGAAUUCGGUUAAUCCUAACAGAAAUGCAGUAAAAUGAAGUUGGGAAACAACAAAAGGGUAUAGGGUGUUUGAUGACGACUGGAACGUCAAUAAUUUUACAUAUCAUUAUAUAAGAGGGACGAUUCGACUUAAUUUCAACAUGCUUUAAAGCAAGGUGUGGAUAUAGAAUGAGUGAUGGGAUGUGCAGGUGUCCAUUUAGAUGUACUGUCAUAUAUGCAUGAGAGAGGGAGAGGCUUACUUGUCAUAGUUGCUCUCUGAUAUAAGCCAUUGAUCUUAACAUCGAACCCAGAGUAUCUUUUGAAACUUGAAAUUUCACCUCUGUUUCUCCAGUUGUGGAGGCGUCCU
rnacentral:lncRNA from 1 species